rnacentral:rRNA from 1 species
GACACGGCCCAGACUCCUACGGGAGGCAGCAGUAGGGAAUCUUCCGCAAUGGACGAAAGUCUGACGGAGCAACGCCGCGUGAGUGAUGAAGGUUUUCGGAUCGUAAAGCUCUGUUGUUAGGGAAGAACAAGUACCGUUCGAAUAGGGCGGUACCUUGACGGUACCUAACCAGAAAGCCACGGCUAGCUACGUGCCAGCAGCCGCGGUAAUACGUAGGUGGCAAGCGUUGUCCGGAAUUAUUGGGCGUAAAGGGCUCGCAGGCGGCUUCUUAAGUCUGAUGUGAAAGCCCCCGGCUCAACCGGGGAGGGUCAUUGGAAACUGGGGAACUUGAGUGCAGAAGAGGAGAGUGGAAUUCCACGUGUAGCGGUGAAAUGCGUAGAGAUGUGGAGGAACACCAGUGGCGAAGGCGACUCUCUGGUCUGUAACUGACGCUGAGGAGCGAAAGCGUGGGGAGCGAACAGGAUUAGAUACCCUGGUAGUCCACGCCGUAAACGAUGAGUGCUAAGUGUUAGGGGGUUUCCGCCCCUUAGUGCUGCAGCUAACGCAUUAAGCACUCCGCCUGGGGAGUACGGUCGCAAGACUGAAACUCAAAGGAAUUGACGGGGGCCCGCACAAGCGGUGGAGCAUGUGGUUUAAUUCGAAACAACGCGAAGAACCUUACCAGGUCUUGACAUCCUCUGACAAUCCUAGAGAUAGGACGUCCCCUUCGGGGGCAGAGUGACAGGUGGUGCAUGGUUGUCGUCAGCUCGUGUCGUGAGAUGUUGGGUUAAGUCCCGCAACGAGCGCAACCCUUGAUCUUAGUUGCCAGCAUUCAGUUGGGCACUCUAAGGUGACUGCCGGUGACAAACCGGAGGAAGGUGGGGAUGACGUCAAAUCAUCAUGCCCCUUAUGACCUGGGCUACACACGUGCUACAAUGGACAGAACAAAGGGCAGCGAAACCGCGAGGUUAAGCCAAUCCCACAAAUCUGUUCUCAGUUCGGAUCGCAGUCUGCAACUCGACUGCGUGAAGCUGGAAUCGCUAGUAAUCGCGGAUCAGCAUGCCGCGGUGAAUACGUUCCCGGGCCUUGUACACACCGCCCGUCACACCACGAGAGUUUGUAACACCCGAAGUCGGUGAGGUAACCUUUUAGGAGCCAGCCGCCGAAGGUGGGACAGAUGAUUGGGGUGAAGUCGUAACAAGGUAGCCGUAUCGGAAGGUGCGGCUG